GACUCAACACGGGGAAACUCACCAGGUCCAGAUGAAAUAAGGAUUGACAGAUUGAGAGCUCUUUCUUGAUUUUUCAGGUGGUGGUGCAUGGCCGUUCUUAGUUCGUGGGGUGACUUGUCUGCUUAAUUGCGAUAACGAGCGAGACCUUACUCUGCUAAAUAGCCAGGCUAGCUUUGGCUGGUCGCCGGCUUCUUAGAGAGACUAUCAACUCAAGUUGAUGGAAGUUUGAGGCAAUAACAGGUCUGUGAUGCCCUUAGAUGUUCUGGGCCGCACGCGCGCUACACUGACAGAGCCAACGAGUUCUUUUCCUUGUUCGAAAGAAUUGGGCAAUCUUGUUAAACUCUGUCGUGCUGGGGAUAAAGCAUUGCAAUUAUUGCU
rnacentral:rRNA from 1 species